GAGUUUGAUCAUGGCUCAGAACGAACGCUGGCGGCAGGCUUAACACAUGCAAGUCGAACGGACGUAGCAAUACGUCAGUGGCGCACGGGUGAGUAACGCGUGGAUAUCUGCCUUUUGGUUCGGGAUAACCUUGGGAAACUAGGGCUAAUACCGAAUGGUUCCUACGGGAUAAAGAUUUAUCGCCAAAAGAUGAGUCCGCGUCCGAUUAGCUAGUUGGUGUGGUAACGGCGCACCAAGGCGACGAUCGGUAGCUGGUCUGAGAGGACGAUCAGCCACACUGGGACUGAGACACGGCCCAGACUCCUACGGGAGGCAGCAGUGGGGAAUAUUGGACAAUGGGGGCGAACCCU
rnacentral:rRNA from 1 species